GUUUUCUGCUAAUCCCUUAAUGCUUCAUGUCAUACUUUUGCUGCUACACACUUCAUAAAUUUCAAUUGUAAUGUCACUGUCUCAUGAAUGCUUACUAAAGUUCUCCUGCUUUGAGAUGUGGUUGAAUUGCCACAGUUGAGAUUCAAAUAUGAAAAUCGGAGUUGCAAAAGGUGAGAUUUGAAUAGAAUUAAUUGCAUUAAGCUCAGUUCAACCCCUCAUUUCUUGUGAAAGAAGAUUUUAUGGUUACAACUUUUCAAGGGAAUGACCUUACCCUUGACCUUGACCUUCAUGUGUCCAUUUCAUCAAUUAUAGCAUCUUCCUCUUCUUGAAUACUUUGAAGCAUUGAAAAGGUAGUUGUUUGAGAGUCACUCUUUUUUUGUGUGACCUGAACCAGUACUUUCCAUGUUUGUUAUCUGCUAAUGCAUUAAAUAUGGUAUGUUAUCUGGUAAUCCUCAUUGUUCAUUUUGGUUCUACUGAAGCUAGCUACUCAAGCUGUCAUUGGUUUUGAUACUAUCUUAUUAUUAUAUGUUUAGAUGAAUUUCAAAGGCUCUGACAUAUGACGAAUGAUGAGUUGUUACAUGGGGUAGUUCUUUUGUUUGCCAUUUUGUUUCUUAUCAUCUCUGAAGAUACGGAUUGUUUUUUUCUUUAAUAAAAGUCAUAAGAAUCACUAUAGUUAAAUUCAAAUACUGAUGAAAUCUGAGUUUCUUGUUUUUUUUCUUGAAUUACAGCUUUUUUGUUUGUUAUAACUUGAGGGAUGGUAUUUAUACCUUGGUUAGAUUCUUUGUAAUCAAUGUGCUUAGGGUUUUAGAUAAUUUCCUUGGGUUUCAUUGAGCUACUUUUUUAUUUUGCCCAAUGAUGGAAACUCAGUUUUGAUUGAACCGUUCUGGUUUUCGAUUUAUCUCUAGCUUUUACACACCGCCUGCUUCAUUCUCUCUCUCUCUCUCUCUUCCAAUAUACAUAUGUGUAUUGUGUGUGUGUGUAUGCAUUUACUUAUUUAUUUUAUUUAAUUUUGGUGGUGUGUCAAGAGCUAUUGGUGAAUGCCUUUACUGUGAACUGUUCAUGAUUUUGGCGUAGCUAUGAGAUCUGAGGGCUCUUUCUAUUGGAUCUUUUAGAGUUUUUGAAGUCGGAUGUUGUCUUCAGGCUUACUUAGUUGAAGGUGCACAGUGAAUGGUGUUUAGGUUUAGGACUUAUAAGAGACUGCUUUUAAAGAUAUCUUUUACCACAAUCUUUGGUACUAUUUUACUCAUCUCCCUCUAAUACUUCGUGCGGAGCGGUUCGGUCUCCAUCAUUUCAAAUAUUUUUCAUCAUUGGUUUUUGGUGAUUCUUAUUCUCCUUCCCUCUUCUUUGUUGUUAUUAUUAAUAAUGUUGAUAUAAUUCAUGGUCUUACGACUAACAAUGUUACUGGUAGUACAGUUGAUAAUUAUAUUCUGUAAUCUGGCCUUCGAGGGCAUUGCAGGUUCUUUCUGUGAAGAAUGUGUUUGAACUUUCUGGGGUUAUCCUUUAUUUGAAAUUUGCUGGUGUUAUCAUUUAUUUUGAAUUUUUUUGUUUGUUUGUGUUAUUUGCAAAUAAGUCUCCUAUAGAAUAGGAGUAUCUCUAGGCUUCUUUCAUGUAUAGCCAUUCAAUAAAAUCAUCUUUCUUUGUUACCAUCACUUGCAUUUAUAUGGUGUCAGAGCCUUCUUAAACUCCAACAAGUUUGAUCCAUCGCAAGUGACAUUUUUUGUUUCCGUCAUAUGGUUUAUUUGAAUAUAUUUGAUGUUCCUUGAUAGAUGACUUUGCCUGUUGUAUGUGUUUAAGCAUACUGCUAUGAUUUUAGUUUUAUUCAACUAUAUCAUAAGAUUUUAGAUAUUACAAUCACUAAGUUUCAGAAUCUGUUUGAAAAUCCAUCUAGAACCGUCAGCUAGAUGGAGGGCUGCACUGCUUUUAUUUCUUUAACCUCCAUUCCUUUAUUGAGGCUGCUAUUUAAAGAUAUCUUUUACCACACGAUCUUUGGUAUUAUUUUGGUCAUAUCCCUCGGAUACUUUGUCUGGAGAGGUUGCUAUGGCAUCAAUGUUGGCCUCCAUCCUUUUAACUACUUAUCAUUCGUUUUGGUGAUUCUUAUUCUCCUUCCCUCUUCUUUGUUAUUAUUGUUGAUAUAAUUCAUGGUCUUAUGGUUAAUGAUGGCACUGGUAGUAGUAGAUGUGGAAAAGUCUUCAAUAAAUCCCAUAGUGUCACAAAUUAUGAAACUAUUCCGAGGUCUGGCCUUCGAGGGAAUUGCAGGUUCUUUCCAUUAAUCAUGUGUUUUAACUUUCUGGUGUUAUUCUUUAUUUGAAUUUUGCUGGUGUUAUCAUUUAUUUUGAAUUUGCUGCUGUUUUCCUUUGUUUUGAAUUUUGUUGUUUGUUUGUAUCAUCUGCAAAUAAGUCUCCUAUAGAAUGGGAGUAUCUAUAGGCUUCUUUCAUGUAUAAAUAUGGUUGCUUCCUUUGAUUAAAAUCAUCUUUCUUUGUCACUGUCACUUGCAUUUAUAUGGUGUCUGGGCCUUAUUAAAGUUUGAUCCAUCACAAGUGAUGUUUUUUUUCUGCCAUAUGGUUUAUUUGAAGAUCUUUGAUGUUCCUUAGUUGAUGACUUUGCUGGUUGUAUGUGUUUAAGUAUACUGCUAUAAUUUUAGUUUUAUUUUAUUAUAUCAUAAGAUUUUACAUGUUACAAUUACUAAGUUUCCGAAUCUGUUUGAAAAUCCUUCUAGAAUCGUCAGCCUGAUCUAGUGCUGCAAUGUUCUUAUUUUUUUGACCUCCAUUCCUUUAUUGAUAAUGCAUGCAUGUCGGGGUCCAUGCCUUGUUUUAAUACAACUUCCGAAGCAAGGUUUUUUUAGUAAUAACUUGAGCGAUUGGUAGUGACGAUUAGGAAAAACUAAAUUUAUUGAAUUGAGAGGUUUUUUUAGUAUAAAUGUUACUAGCAUCUUUUUUAGAGUGAGGAAGUUAAUGCUUGAAUGCUCAGACUUUUCACUGUUGAUUGAUUACUGCAUAGUAGACAUGGGUAUUUUCUUUUAUUUCAACAUUUUAUGUUUAAAAACUACAAUUGUGCUUUUGCAAAUUCAUUUUGCAGCAUUCUUUUUGGCCCAAUGAUUGAGAACUCAUUGAAAUGGAGCAGUUAUUUCUGAUUUUCAUUUCUGACCUUUGCUAUCAGCAAUGGCAUCAAACAUUCAAUAUCAUCUCUCUCUUUUUUUCCUUUUUCUUUAUUUUCCCAUUUCUGUUUCCUAUGAAGAACAGCUCUCUUUCUUUCUCUCUCUUUCUUCAUAUCAACAUGGCUGCUGAUAUGGUGAAGGCUCGUAACGAAAAUCAGUUAGUUUAAACCCUGCAAAUGACCCAUCAUAGUAUGAGAUCUGAGGGCUUUUGUGAUUCUUCAUGCCUGCCUUUAUCAUGCCGCACUGUUACAAACUUUGUUUCUUUGGUGUAUGAGAUUUUCAUUUAUGUUACUCUAAUUCAUGUGUGAAUGUUGGACACAGGUAUCCCUGUAUAAUUGAAUUUCAAGCAUGGAAUUGUAAGUUGUCUGCAAGAAAGGGUUGCCGAUAUUCAGAUUCAUUCAAUCCUAGCUUGUGCAUUUUACGACGAUUGGAAUUGCAAAAGGCGAGAUUCAAAUAAAAUCAAUUGGAUUAAGUUGAGUUCAAACCCACAUUUCUUGUGAAUGAAAAUUUUAUGGUUACAAGUUUCAAGGGAAUGAUCUGACCCUUGAGUCAUUGUUGUUGUAGAAGUGGACUUCUUUCCCAGGCAUUUGGACUGAGUUCGAAUCUUGGUGUCAUAGAGGGCUUUACUUGAAUACCAGACUUAGAUCGUAAAACAGAUGAGAACACCUGUGGUUAUAAAAAAAAUGAUAUAUUACUGGUAAUCCUUAUUGUUCAUUGUGGUUCUAAUGAAGCUAGCUACUCGAUCUGCCAUUGGUUUUGAUACUAUCUUCUUAGUCUAUGUUUAAAUGAAUUUCAAAGGCUCUGACAUAUGGCCAAUGAUGAGAAGUUGUUGCAUGGGGUAGUUCUUUCGUUUCCUAUCAUCUCUGAAGAUGCAUAUUGCUUUUUUUAAUGAAAGUCAUGAGCAUCACUAUUGUUGAAUUGGAAUAUUGAUGAAAUCUGAGGGUUGUUUUUUUUUUUUUUGAAUUGCUGAUUUUUAGUUGUUAUAACUUAAGGGUUGAUUUUUGUAGCUUGGUUAGAUCCUUUGUAGCCUAUGUGCUUAAGGUUUUACAUAAUUUCCUCGGGUUUCUUUGAGCUCCGGUUGUAUUUUGCCCAAUGAUGGAAAAUCAGUUUUGAUUGAACAGUUCUGGGUUUCAAUUUAUCUCUAGCUUUUACACACUGCCUGUUUUAUUCUCUGUCAAUAUACACAUACGUAUUAUGUAUGUUUGUAUGUAUGCGUGUCUAUUUAUUUAUUUUAUUUAUUAUUGCUGGUGGUGUGUUAAGAGCUAUUGGUGAAUGCCUUUACAGUGAACUGUCCAUGAUUUUGGCAUAGCUAUGUGAUGCGGUUUUGGGGAGAAAACAGCAACAAUAGAAAGAAUUAGGGCUGAACAAACGAUUAGUAAAGAAGAUGCAAGUCCAGAAAACUUAGGGUUAUAGAAAACCUCUAGUUUUUCAAUUGAUUCAAGAAAAACAAUAAGAACAAUAAUUAUGGCUAUAAAGCCUACAACUUAUUUAUAUAGCCUUUCUUUCUUGGAAGUAAAGUUACUAGGCUUUCUUGCAAAUAAAAUUUUAUUCUCGUCCUAGAUUUAAGCUGUAAUAUAUCUAAUAUUUAAAAUAGAUAUUAUAAGAUAGAACUGACAUGAUAAAAUAUUAUAAUAAAAAUAAAAGAUCCUACAUCACUAUGAGAUCUGAAGGCUGUUUCUAAUUUCACUUUUAGGUUUUUUGAAGUCAGAUAUUGUCUUCAGGCUUACUUAGUCAAAAGUGCAGAGCAGAUGGUGUUUAAUUCUAGGACUUAUACGAGACUACUAUUUAAGGCAAUUUUGAAGAUAUCUUUUACCACACAAUCUUUGGUAUUAUUUUGCUCAUAGCCCUCAGACACUUUGUGUGGAGAGGUUGCUAUGGCAUCAAUGUCAGCCUCCAUCCUUUCAACUACUUGUCAUUAUUGGUUUUGGUGAUUCUUAUUCUCCUUCCCUCUUUGUUGUUGUUAUUGUUAUUAUUGUUGAUAUAAUUCAUGGUCUGAUGAUUAAUGAUGGCACUGGUAGACCGGUAGUAGUAGAUGUGGAAAAGUCUUCAAUGAAAUAGUGUCACAAUUGAUGAAACUAUUCUGAGGUCUGGCCUCCGAGGGCAUUUGCAGGUUCUUUCUAUUAAGCAUGUGUUUGAACUCUCUGGUGUUAUCCUUUAUUUGAAAUUUUCUGUUAUCAUUUUUUUUGAAUUUGCUUCUGUUUUCCUUUGUUUUGAAUUUUGUUGUUUGUUAGUAUCACCUGCAAAUAAGUCUCCUAUAGAAGAGGAGUAUCUCUAGGCUUCUUUGACGUAUUAAUAUGCUUGCUGCCAUUGAAUAAAAUCAACAUCUUUUUUUUUUCACUGUCACUUGCAUUUAUAUGGUGUCAGAGCCUUCCUAAGCUCCAACAAGUUUUAUCCAUCGCAAGUGACAUUUUUUUCAUUCUGCCAUAUGUUUUAUUUUAUUUGAAGAUCUUUGAUGUUCCGUAGUUGAUGACUUUGCUGGUUGUAUGUGUUCAAGUAUACUGCUUUAAUCUUAGUUCUAUUAUUUUAGAUAUUGCAAUCACUAAGUUUCAGAAAAUCCAUCUAGAUUCAUCGGCCCAAUCGAGGGUUUCACUGUUCCUAUUUCUCUGACCUCCAUUCCUUUAUUGAUAAUGUAUGUAUGUCAAGGUCCAUGCCUUGUUUUAAUAUAACUUCUGAAGCAAGCAGUUCGUUGGAAUAUUGGUAACUGGAAUGGUGUCUAAUUCCUAGUAAUAAUUCUUGCAGAUGGUAAUGACUGUUGGGAAAAAAUAAUUUUAUUGGAUUGAGUCGUUUUUUACUAUAAACCUUGCUAGAAUAUUUAUUUAAUGCUUAGAUUUUUCUCUGCUUGUUGAUUAAUGUGUAGAACAUCUGGGUAUCCUAUAUUUCAAAUUUUCAACAUUUUAUGUUUAAACACUACAGUAACUUUUUUUUUUCUUUUGCAAUUUCAUUUUGCUGCAUUAGUUUUUUUGGCCCAAUGAUAGAGAACUCAUUGAAAUGGAGCAGUUAUUUCUGAUUUUUGUUUUGGACCUUUGCUAUCAGCAAUGGCAUCAACAAUUCAACAUUCAAUAUCAUCCCUUUUCCUUCCUUUUCUUUUCCUCUACAAUAUUUGUUUCAUAUGAUGAACAGCUUUUUCUCUUUCUUUCUCUCUUUCUUCAUAUCAACAUGGCUGCUGAUAUGAUAGAGGCUCGUAACUAAAAUCAGUGAGUUUAAAAACUGCAAAUGACCCAUCAUAGCUAUGAGAUCUGAGGGCUUUUAUGAUUCUUAAUAUCUGUCUUUAUCAUGCUGUGUUGUUGCAAACUUUGUUUCUCUGGUGUAUGAGAUUUUCAUUUACAUUACUCUAAUUCAUGCGUGAGUGUUGGACACAGGUAUGCCCAAUAUUUUCUAAAGGUUUUCAUGUAUUUGGAGGACCCUAAAGGAUCAUAUAUCAUGGAAUUGUAAGUUGUUUGCAAGCAAGGGUCGUCGAUGUUCAAUCCCAGCUUGUGCUUUGUGAGUGUUUCCUGCUAAUCUCCCUUAACGCUUCAUGUCUCACUUUUGCUGCUAUUCACUUCAUAAAUUUCAAUUGUAAUGUCACUAUCUAAUGUAAUGUAACGCCUGCUUUUCUUGCAGAUGGUAGUGACUAAGGAAAAACUAAGUUUAUUGAAUUGAGAGGUUUAUUUUUGUUAUAUUGCUAUUAUCGUAUUUAGAAGGAAGCAUUCAAUGCUUGAACGCUUAUAUUUUCUAACUGUUGAUUGAUUAAUGUGUAAACUACAAUUGUGCUUUUACAAAUUCAUUUUGCUGCAAUUUGUUUGGCCCAAUGAUUGAGGACUCAUUGAAAUGGAGCAGUUAUUUCUGAUUUUCAUUUCGGACCUUUGCUAUCAGCAAUUGCAUCAAACAUCCAAUAUCAUCUUUUUCUUUUUCUUUUUCUUUUUUGUUUCAUAUGAAGAACAGCUCUUUUCUUUCUCUCUCUCUCUAUUUCCUCUCUUUCUUCAUAUCAACUCGGUGCUGAUUUGGUGGAGGCUCGUAAUGAAAAUCAACGAGUUUAAAAAACUGCAAAUGACCCAUCAUAGCUAUGAGAUCUGAGGGCUUUUCCUGAUUCUUAGUAUCUGCCUUUAUCAUUCUCUGCUGUUGCAAACUUUGUUUCCUUGGCGACUCUGAUUUUCAUUUAUGUUACUCUAAUUCAUGUGUGAUUGUUGGACACAGGUAUGCCGACUGUAGAUACUCGUUUUUGGUUAUUUAACCUUUCUGUUUAAGGCAAACAGAGAUUUUCGACUCAGGGCAUCGGCUAACACGUUAGUUUUACCUGGAUGAUAGUCGAUAAUCAGAUCAUAAUUUUUUAACAAUUCGAGCUAUCUGUGCUGUCUCAGAUUCAACUCUUUCUGCGUCAAUAAGUAUUUCAGGCUUUUGUGAUCUGUGAAUAUACUUCUUUUCUUUUCUUUUGUUUGAUAUAAAAGAAAUCUUGAAUGUUAAUUGUGUGCUCUUGGAGGAGAUACAACUUUAGAUAUUAAGAAUUGUUGAAAUUGAUAAUUAUUAUAUACAUAUGUUUAGAGGUUUGAUAUA